GACGAACGCUGGCGGCGUGCUUAACACAUGCAAGUCGAACGGAAAGGCCCUGCUUUUGUGGGGUGCUCGAGUGGCGAACGGGUGAGUAACACGUGAGUAACCUGCCCUUGACUUUGGGAUAACUUCAGGAAACUGGGGCUAAUACCGGAUAGGAGCUCCUGCUGCAUGGUGGGGGUUGGAAAGUUUCGGCGGUUGGGGAUGGACUCGCGGCUUAUCAGCCUGUUGGUGGGGUAGUGGCUUACCAAGGCUUUGACGGGUAGCCGGCCUGAGAGGGUGACCGGCCACAUUGCGACUGAGAUACGGCCCAGACGGCUACGGGAGGCAGCAGUGGGGAAUAUUGCACAGUGGGCGGAAGCGUGAUGCAGCAACGCCGCGUGCGGGAUGACGGCCUUCGGGUUGUAAACCGCUUUGGCCUGUGACGAAGCGUGAGUGACGGUAAUGAGUAAAGAAGCACCGGCUAACUACGUG
rnacentral:rRNA from 1 species